rnacentral:rRNA from 1 species
AGUGAACGCUGGCGGUAGGCUUAACACAUGCAAGUCGAACGGCAGCACAGUAAGAGCUUGCUCUUACGGGUGGCGAGUGGCGGACGGGUGAGGAAUACAUCGGAAUCUACUUUUUCGUGGGGGAUAAGGUAGGGAAACUUACGCUAAUAUCGCAUACGACCUAGGGGUGAAAGCAGGGGAACUUCGGACCUUGCGCGAUUGAAUGCGCCGAUGUCGGAUUAGCUAGUUGGCGGGGUAAAGGCCCACCAAGGCGACGAUCCGUAGCUGGUCUGAGAGGAUGAUCAGCCACACUGGAACUGAGACACGGUCCAGACUCCUACGGGAGGCAGCAGUGGGGAAUAUUGGACAGUGGGCGCAAGCCUGAUCCAGCCAUACCGCGUGGGUUAAGAAGGCCUUCGGGUUGUAAAGCCCUUUUGUUGGGAAAGAAAAGCAGCAGGUUAAUACCCCGCUGUUCUGACGGUACCCAAAGAAUAAGCACCGGCUAACUUCGUG